rnacentral:rRNA from 1 species
UGCAAGUCGAGGGGCAGCAGGGAAGUAGCUUGCUACUUCUGCUGGCGACCGGCGCACGGGUGCGUAACGCGUAUGCAACCUACCUUUAACAGGGGGAUAAUCCGAAGAAAUUUGGUCUAAUACCCCAUAAUAUUGAUUAAGGCAUCUUGAUCAGUUGAAAGUUCCGACGGUUAAAGAUGGGCAUGCGUUGUAUUAGCUAGUUGGUGAGGUAACGGCUCACCAAGGCUACGAUACAUAGGGGGACUGAGAGGUUUUCCCCCCACACUGGUACUGAGACACGGACCAGACUCCUACGGGAGGCAGCAGUGAGGAAUAUUGGUCAAUGGACGCAAGUCUGAACCAGCCAUGCCGCGUGCAGGAUGAAUGUGCUAUGCAUUGUAAACUGCUUUUGUACGAGGGUAAAAACAGGUACGUGUACCUGGUUGAAAGUAUCGUACGAAUAAGGGUCGGCUAACUCCGUGCCAGCAGCCGCGGUAAUACGGAGGACCCGAGCGUUAUCCGGAUUUAUUGGGUUUAAAGGGUGCGUAGGCGGAUUGGUAAGUUAGAGGUGAAAGCUCAGCGCUUAACGUUGAAACUGCCUCUGAUACUGUCGGUCUAGAGUAUAGUUGCGGAAGGCGGAAUGUGUGGUGUAGCGGUGAAAUGCUUAGAUAUCACACAGAACACCGAUUGCGAAGGCAGCUUUCCAAGCUAUCACUGACGCUGAG